rnacentral:rRNA from 1 species
UACGUAGGGGGCUAGCGUUGUCCGGAAUUAUUGGGCGUAAAGCGCGCGCAGGUGGUUUCUUAAGUCUGAUGUGAAAGCCCACGGCUCAACCGUGGAGGGUCAUUGGAAACUGGGGAGCUUGAGUGCAGAAGAGGAAAGUGGAAUUCCAAGUGUAGCGGUGAAAUGCGUAGAGAUUUGGAGGAACACCAGUGGCGAAGGCGACUUUCUGGUCUGUAACUGACACUGAGGCGCGAAAGCGUGGGGAGCGAACAGG